rnacentral:rRNA from 1 species
AUACAGAGGCCCCAAGCAUUAUCCGGAUUCACUGGGCGUAAAGGGUCCGUAGGCGGUGUUAUUAGUCGGGUGUUAAAUCCUGGGGCUCAACCCCAGACUCGCAUUCGAAACGGUAACACUAGAAGAAGUAAGAGGUGAGCAGAACUCUCGGUGUAGGGGUGAAAUCCGUUGAUAUCGAGGGGAAUACCAAAUGCGAAGGCAGCUCACUGGUACUUUCUUGACGCUGAGGGACGAAAGCAUGGGUAGCGAACGGGAUUAGAAACCCCAGUAGUCC